AUUGAACGCUGGCGGCAGGCCUAACACAUGCAAGUCGAGCGGAUGAAGGGAGCUUGCUCCUGGAUUCAGCGGUGGACGGGUGAGUAAUGCCUAGGAAUCUGCCUGGUAGUGGGGGAUAACGUCCGGAAACGGGCGCUAAUACCGCAUACGUCCUGAGGGAGAAAGUGGGGGAUCUUCGGACCUCACGCUAUCAGAUGAGCCUAGGUCGGAUUAGCUAGUUGGUGGGGUAAAGGCCUACCAAGGCGACGAUCCGUAACUGGUCUGAGAGGAUGAUCAGUCACACUGGAGCUGAGACACGGUCAAGACUCCUACGGGAGGCAGCAGUGGGGAAUAUUGGACAAUGGGCGAAAGCCUGAUCCAGCCAUGCCGCGUGUGUGAAGAAGGUCUUCGGAUUGUAAAGCACUUUAAGUUGGGAGGAAGGGCAGUAAGUUCAUACCUUGCUGUUUUGACGUUACCAACAGAAUAAGCACCGGCUAACUUCGUG
rnacentral:rRNA from 1 species